CUUACUAUUGUGCCCUUUCACUUUUUUUUUUCCUCCCUUACAAAAGGUUAAUCUUGUAAUUAACAAAUUCAAUAUUCACCUAUGCCAAUUGUAUCUUUCUUAUUGGUCCAUUCCAACAACUUGUCCCAAACACCAUUUUCAUUUGUUUCUCUUUCUCCUUUUCUGAUAUAAACUUUUUCCUUCUCUCUACUCUCUCUCUCUCUCUCAUUUCUUCUUCUCUCUUCUCUAUCAUCAAACCCUAAAAAUUUCUGGAAAAAAGCCACAGACCCCGCCACACUUAAACCCUUGGCCAUUUUAUGUUUUCUCCACAAACCCUAGCACCCUAGCACACAUCCGCUCUCUCAUUUCUCCACAAACCCUAGCGCAGCCGGUCUCUCAUUUUUCCACAUACCCUAGCGCCGUCGUUGCUUCGUCCCCUUCUUCAAGUUCCUUCUUCAACACUAUCGCUUGAUUAGGAUUGCGGAGGAAUUCAAUAUUGCAGUUUAUAUGACAAAUCAAGAUUCAUGGUAAAUCUUGUGUUGCAUACUUGGCCAGUUUAAUGGUGACGAGAGCUUGAGUGAAACCCACCAACGAUAAGGUCGGAAGCGAAUUCGAUGCAGGUGAGUGAGGAUUUGGGGAUAGAAUGGGGAGUGAAGUAGAGGAGUGGAUAAAAAGGAAUUGAGGGCAAAAGUUUGUUGAAUUUGGUGAGCAUUGGAGAUGAUUUGCAAUGGAAAUG